GACGAACGCUGGCGGCAUGCCUAAUACAUGCAAGUCGAGCGAACAGAUGAAGUGCUUGCACUUCUGACGUUAGCGGCGAACGGGUGAGUAACACGUAAGGAAUCUACCUAUAAGCGGGGGAUAACAUUCGGAAACGGGUGCUAAUACCGCAUAAUAUCUUCUUCCGCAUGGAAGAAGAUUGAAAGACGGCUCUGCUGUCACUUAUAGAUGACCUUGCGGUGCAUUAGUUAGUUGGUGGGGUAACGGCCUACCAAGACGAUGAUGCAUAGCCGACCUGAGAGGGUGGUCGGCCACAUUGGGACUGGGACACGGCCCAAAAUCCUACGGGAGGCAGCAGUAGGGAAUCUUCCGCAAUGGGCGAAAGCCUGACGGAGCAAUGCCGCGUGAGUGAAGAAGGCCUUCGGGUCGUAAAACUCUGUUAUAAGAGAAGAACAAAUUGUAGAGUAACUGCUACAGUCUUGACGGUAUCUUAUCAGAAAGCCACGGCUAACUACGUGCCAGCAGCCGCCGUAA
rnacentral:rRNA from 1 species